rnacentral:misc_RNA from 1 species
UUGUUUAUUUUAAAAAUUUAUAAACUCAGACAGAAAUAUAUAAAAAAUGUAGAGUUACAAGUUCCUUUGGCAAAGACACAGCCACUCUAUUUUUAUUAUUAAAUAAAUAAAAAUAAAGAGUCACUGGUUGCUCAGCACGUAUGCUCAACAAGCGCUUCACCAAAGUAUUGGAAUUUCGAUACACAAAAGGGUGGGAGAUUUCCUGCAAGCAGGAAAAAAUCUCGGUAAUGAUCCUUCCGCAGGUUCACCUACGGAAA